GUUUCCUUAUUGAACCGUAAAACCACGAAACCACACAGAGUCAACAAACGCUUUAUCUGCAUGACCUUUUCAAAUAAAACCAAAACACACACACACACACACACACACACACACACACCCCGACUCAAUGACAAAAUACAGCGGCAGCAUUUCCCAGCGAGUCCGAGUACCGAGUAAUGUUACCCUAAUAAAGAUUUCCAUCGCUAAAAAUAACCACACACGCAAUGAAGUAUUUACAAACAGUAAACAAACCUCAUCCAGCUGAGUCUGACCGAAACUCUUACCGUCGAACUAAGAAGCAUAAAAACUGAUCUGCAAUAAAACAAACACUUUUCCCUAACAGUUUAUAACGUUUAUCACGUGGAUCUGGAUUAGACAUCGACCCCAUAAUCGGUGUUGCUGAUAUUUCAGCGUUUUUCAAUAAUCGGAUAUGGGUUUUGUAACAUCGGCUCCGGCGAUAAACGGCUCGCCAUCUUGUGGGCGUUUCGAGAACUGCGCUUUAUUUAACGUAACGUUAAUUCACAAAUUGGACGGGUUACGUGUAAACGCUUAUGUAUAUAUGUUCGGCUAGUUUAAGCAGCUCGGCGCUAAGAAAUACAGACAAACUCAGACUCACGUAAUCUGCUUUUAUUUUUUUUUAAGCUUUUAUUUAAAAAAAUAAAAUAAAAUAAAAUACACACUUUAGUAACAGCGCUUUAUUUUUAUUACAUUUUUCGCGCUCUUUCAGACCCCUUUAUUUAUCGAUGUUAUGAAUAAGAAUUAUUUUUUGGUUUUGUAAACACCGAGGAAGUGAAAUCGACUAAAUUCUUGGGCACAUAAACGUGCAAAUAAUCGGUAUCGGUAAUACAAAAAAUCUCUGAUCUGGACGGCGCUGGUGUUUUACUGUUCAUGAAUAAAUCGUUUUUAUUUCGACUAAAUUAACUCUCGGGGUCAAACCUCUGGCGUAGUUUAAAUGCGCAAAAUGACGCACGUUGUGAAAUCCCGGAAACCCGCCGUACUCGUGUAUCCUGGGCUGUAGAGUCAGGGCCUCCGAGAAACAGUAGAUGUUCUGUCUGUAUAAACAAACACAGUCGCACAGGUAUGAAGGUAUGCUAGCUUGAUCUAGCAUUAACUGUAUUAUAAUACACCCAGAGGUACUGUUUACAUAAAAUUAUUGAGCAGAAGGACCAUCUAUCGAAAGGUACGACCAAUUUGGAACCUACCAAGAUAUAAUGUACACUUAAACUAUACGUAUAAAAACAAACAAAACUACAGGCUGUUAUUUAUAAAGCAAUCUACAGACCCGACGUCGUCUAAACCAGAAUUCAGAGAAGGAUCUUUCUUACAAAGUCAUUCACGCUCUCGGGUCAUGAUGAAUCAUUAGCCAGAGGUCUGAUACAAGCAGGUCGCUGCGGAAUCGGGAUUCGGUCAUGGCACAGUACAGACGUGUAGAGAUCACAGCAUGAGCUACUGACUGGCUCACGGGAAGGGGAAAAGAAAAAAAGAAAAAAAAAAAGGCUCCGGGUCAGGAAAGGUCACGAGCAACAAUGAGGAGUCUCGGGAUAGCGCGUUUGUCACGAAGGGUUCGGCUAUUUUCUGCCAGUGGCCUGCGGCUGCACCGGAGGCGGGACUUCCACUUCCAACAGCAUCGGGCACGACAUGUACACGAGAGCUGAGCCUGUAAUUAUGGAAACGGAGGGACAUCGUAAAGAACAUGGAGGAAGAAAGGAGGUGUCAGUAAGAGACCUUGUACCCGUGAGUCCCUCCAGGGAGACGUCACUGCAGCAACCAGCAUCACCU
ensembl:lncRNA